rnacentral:rRNA from 1 species
GACGAACGCUGGCGGCGUGCUUAACACAUGCAAGUCGAACGCUGAAGGCCCAGCUUGCUGGGUUGGAUGAGUGGCGAACGGGUGAGUAACACGUGAGUAACCUGCCCCCUUCUUUGGGAUAACGGUCGGAAACGGCUGCUAAUACCGGGUAUUCACUGUCCUUCGCAUGGGGGGUGGUGGAAAGGUUUUUUCUGGUGGGGGAUGGGCUCGCGGCCUAUCAGCUUGUUGGUGGGGUGAUGGCUUACCAAGGCUUUGACGGGUAACCGGCCUGAGAGGGUGACCGGUCACAUUGGGACUGAGAUACGGCCCAGACUCCUACGGGAGGCAGCAGUGGGGAAUAUUGCACAAUGGGCGAAAGCCUGAUGCAGCGACGCCGCGUGAGGGAUGGAGGCCUUCGGGUUGUAAACCUCUUUCGCUCAUGGUCAAGCCGCAACAGUGGUUGUGGUGAGGGUAGUGGGUAAAGAAGCACCGGCUAACUACGUGCCAGCAGCCGCGGUAAUACGUAGGGUGCGAGCGUUGUCCGGAAUUAUUGGGCGUAAAGGGCUUGUAGGCGGUUUGUCGCGUCUGCCGUGAAAUCCUCUGGCUUAACUGGGGGCGUGCGGUGGGUACGGGCAGGCUUGAGUGCGGUAGGGGAGACUGGAACUCCUGGUGUAGCGGUGGAAUGCUCACAUAUCAGGAAGAACACCGGUGGCGAAGGCGGGUCUCUGGGCCGUUUCUGAGCUGAGGAGCGGAACCUGCGGAACGAACAG